rnacentral:rRNA from 1 species
UACGUAGGCAGCGAGCGUUGUUCGGAGUUACUGGGCGUAAAGCGUGCGUAGGCGGUGUCUUAAGUUUGUUGUGAAAUCUCCCGGCUUAACCGGGAGGGUGCGGCGAAUACUGAGAUGCUGGAGUGCCGGAGAGGUAAGCGGAAUUCCUGGUGUAGCGGUGAAAUGCGCAGAUAUCAGGAGGAACACCCGUGGCGAAAGCGGCUCUCUGGGACGGUACUGACGCUGAGACGCGAAAGCGUGGGGAGCGAACAGG